AUUGAACGCUGGCGGCAGGCCUAACACAUGCAAGUCGAACGAGUGGCGGACGGGUGAGUACUGUCUGGGAACCUGCCUGAUGGAGGGGGAUAACUACUGGAAACGGUAGCUAAUACCGCAUACCAUCGGAUGUGCCCCUAUGGGAUUAGCUAGUAGGGGGGGGAAAGGCUCACCUAGGCGCCGAUCACUAGCUGGUCUGAGAGGAUGAGCAGCCAAACUGGAACUGAGACACGGUCAAGAAUCCUACGGGAGGCAGAAGUGGGGAAUAUGGCACAAUGGGCGCAAGCCUGAUGCAGCCAUGCCGCGUGUAUGAAGAAGGCCUUCGGGUUGUAAAGUACUUUCAGAGGGGAGGCGUUACCCGCAGAAUAAGCACCGGCUAACUCCGUGCCAGCCGCCGCGGUAAUUC
rnacentral:rRNA from 1 species